GAUGGACCCGCGGUGCAUUAGCUAGUUGGUGAGGUAACGGCUCACCAAGGCAACGAUGCAUAGCCGACCUGAGAGGGUGAUCGGCCACAUUGGGACUGAGACACGGCCCAAACUCCUACGGGAGGCAGCAGUAGGGAAUCUUCGGCAAUGGACGAAAGUCUGACCGAGCAACGCCGCGUGAGUGAAGAAGGUUUUCGGAUCGUAAAACUCUGUUGUUAGAGAAGAACAAGGAUGAGAGUAAAAUGUUCAUCCCUUGACGGUAUCUAACCAGAAAGCCACGGCUAACUACGUGCCAGCAGCCGCGGUAAUACGUAGGUGGCAAGCGUUGUCCGGAUUUAUUGGGCGUAAAGCGAGCGCAGGCAGUUUCUUAAGUCUGAUGUGAAAGCCCCCGGCUCAACCGGGGAGGGUCAUUGGAAACUGGGAAACUUGAGUGCAGAAGAGGAGAGUGGAAUUCCAUGUGUAGCGGUGAAAUGCGUAGAUAUAUGGAGGAACACCAGUGGCGAAGGCGGCUCUCUGGUCUGUAACUGACGCUGAGGCUCGAAAGCGUGGGAAGCAAACAGGAUUAGAUACCCUGGUAGUCCACGCC
rnacentral:rRNA from 1 species